CAGUAGCGUCUCCUCCCCCAGCAGCACAACCAGAGAAAAAGGAGAAGCGACAGGGCGGGCAGCAGCGUCUCGUUCCCCCGCCCUCAUCCCUAUAGCCGCCGCCGGGUCCUCUCCUCUCCCUAUCGGUGUGAGUGGGCGGGCCGCGGCUUGCGGAGACUGAGGAGAGGGAGGAGACAGAUGCGUGAGGAGGAGGAGGAGGCCACGGCCGUCGGCUCCUCUCCUCUCCCCGUCGGCGCCAGCGCGUUGGUCGCGGGGAGUGAGGAGAGCGAGGAGAGGGAGGGGGAAGAUGCGUGAGGAGGAGGACCAGGCGGUGGCGCGGCAGCCAGAUCCGAGGCGCGUGGGCGCGGAGGCAGCCGCAGUGGGCUCCGGCCACUUCUUCACGCACAGCGGCAGGAGCAGCUCCACCUCUCCACUCCCCCACGCGUGAGCCCUCCACAACCCCACCCACCACACCGAGGCGGUGUCCAGAGGCGGUCGGCGGUGGCGCAGGUUCUAAUAGAUGAGUGAUGACUAAUGGUUGAUGCAAAGGAGGAGGCGUACUGAUGGAAGCUGGCAGCAAAAUCAGGACCUCUCCGUCCUCGAGCCCUUCUUCUCCUCUCUCCGCGCCGUCUCGCCUCCCCUGCUCUCGCACCGCCACCUUCCCUGCCCAGCACUCGAGGCGCCAUGAUUUUGGAUCGGGCGGAUAUCUUCACCAGGAGAGUAGGAGCACUUGCUGUUAAUAUGAACGAUCUCUCACUAAGUUUUUGUUAUGGCGUUGUGUGCCGAUUCAUGAUUUAAACACGCAAAAUGUCUGGUUUGCAUAUUUGUGCCUAGCCCUAUUACUAGCAGUGUAUUUUUUGUCGUAAGAAAGACAACAAUGCUUUAUUUCUUUGACUUCUUGACCGUGUCUAAUUUCUGGUAAAAGAGAGGAAUUUCAGAGAUAGACAACCUGGAGAGCUUUGAAUGGUUGUUCGAGUGUGCCGCCAGUCUCCUCGCCGCUGCUGUUGCGUAGCUGGCACCGGUGUGUGGCGACUGCCGAGAUAAGCGCAGUUUACUCCAGGUUUGGUGAUGGUGUUGAACAACACCUUAACUGGGCCAAGGAAUUUAGUAGCAUUGUGGGAUCAUAAACCAGUUUUUCUGUUCUCUGUGCUCACAUAGUAAGAACAUGGUUGCAAGUUCUUUUCCUUAGGUGUAAUUUCUUUUGCUGAGAUAGAUUAAGCCUGGGUCGAGGUGGCUGCUGUGUGCCGGUUGCCAGUACUUGUUUGUUGUAAUGUCUUACCCAGUGAGAUUUCUUUUAUUCUUGCCUAUUUUCAGAGGUUCUGCUUGAAGAUUCUCUAAUCACUUUCUUUGGAACUUUUUGCUGAGAUAUGCUUCCAGGUUACUUCAAUGUUACCAGACUUAAAAUGUACUAUCUAGCAUACUAGCACGUGUGUAUAUGAUGCCUCCUUUUAUCCUUGAAUGUAAGACACAUGGUGUUUUGUUCCAUAGUUAUGCUUAACGGAAGUGAUAAUUUGUUAUCAUAUUCAAAACUAUAGCUCUUUGUUUGUAGUAUCUCGGAGGGAGCAAUAUUUUGAUACUUGCUUUAUAGGAAUUCUCUUUCUUUGCCUAGAAUUUGUGAUUUAUGGCUGAUGUCAAUUCCACCUUUGUAGGUGUUUCUCAAUUAUUACUAAUGUUGAAACUGUAGAGGAGCAGGAGAUGAGGAGGGCCCCACUUGGUGUACAAUGGUGAAUGAUGCGGCAGUUAGACCGGGAGAUGAGGAGCGCGGCACUGGGUGUACGAAGGAUUAGUAGGAAGAAUGUUAAUCACAGUGGGUGAAAAGAAAAUGCGAGCUCGGCUGAUUGCAUACUAUUUGGUUGAGUUGUUUUGUCCUAAAGAUACAAUCAAGAUGAAGAUUUCUUUUGUAUGGAAAUUCACCAUGGGAAUCGAAAUAAUGAUAUUUGAUAUAAGUGAAUAUAUACCCUUUGGUAGGUGAAUGUGCUCUCCGUUAAUAUCACUGAUAUAUUUGAGCUUCAGAGAAGGAUAUCUAUGCCAUUUUGUUUUUGUUUUUUGAACAAAAGAGUGUUGUAUGUGGGUAUCGUUAAGGGGAUGAAGCAGCAAAGUUACCUACGCAAUUUAGCAGGAUGUGGCUGAUACAUACAGAGUGGUUUACUUAGGUUUGGUGUUACUGCUAUCUCUUUCGUUGUAAAACUGCAGAGCAGCAGAGUUUAUAGAUUUAUGGAUCAUGCUUUUGGUGCCAGUAGUUUUGUAUGUAAGAUGUAGUUGUUGUGCAGCUCCAUGUGUCUGUGUGAUCUGAUGUAUAGAUAUAACAUAACAUUCUAAAAUUUAUAGUUAUUCUCUAUAUAUGAGAAAGCAUGAAAGAACUGUGUAUUAGGGGUAAAUAAUCUUUUCUGUUGUUUGAUAAAACAGUUAGGCGGCUACCCUGUCAUAUAUUUUGAUUCUCCUUUGACGAAAUUCCUAUCCUUGAAUGCCAUUUUCUCCAUGGUUUUUAUGUUUUAUGUUGUUCACUACAUGAUACUGAAUUAACAGUUACAUGAAAGUUUAGGGAACACUUUUCUAAGAGAAGCCUCUUCCCGCACAUGGAUGCUGAUCAUGAUGAGCUACCAAUCAGUACAGGAGACGGGACCACCAGUGUCAUGGCCCUCUUUAUCAAGGGCGCCGACAACAGGGCUACACUCACAAUGAACUGGAGCAGCUUCUUCCAUAAGGCAAACAUGAAGAAAGGGUGUACAUAUGCUUUCACCUUCAAGUGCACGUCCAAGGGCCUUUGCAUGAUUGUCUAUCCAAUCUAAGCAGGUCACAGUAGUCCUUUGCUACGUAACUUGGUAUUACUAUAAGUACCUAUUGAGACUUUUAUAUCUGGCAUCAUUUUGGAUCUUAUGUAAAAAAAUUAUGAUAAUCCUGUCCGUAUGACUAUCAUCAAUCCAUACUAAUUUU